rnacentral:rRNA from 1 species
UACGAAGGGGGCUAGCGUUGUUCGGAAUUACUGGGCGUAAAGGGCGCGUAGGCGGUCUUGUCAGUCGGAAGUGAAAGCCCCGGGCUCAACCUGGGAAUUGCUUUCGAUACUGCAAGACUUGAGUUCCGGGGAGGAUGGUGGAAUUCCCAGUGUAGAGGUGAAAUUCGUAGAUAUUGGGAAGAACACCGGUGGCGAAGGCGGCCAUCUGGACGGACACUGACGCUGAGGCGCGAAAGCGUGGGGAGCAAACAGG